rnacentral:lncRNA from 10 species
GUCUAGUUCAUGACAAGCAUCCAUCAUCGUAUCCUCUGUGAGGCUGUUGUCUUUACAUCUGACCAUGAGAUGUUGGAGCUUGAAGUCCAAGAGGCAGGUGGUCAGCAGAGGAAGAUGGAUAUGAAGUCGGGAGAGCAGGGAUGGGCUGGGACCCACAGGCACACACAGAACCCAUGAAGACCCACCGGAACUCAGGUCAGUUAUCGCUGCCUCUCUGGGUGCUAUAGUUGUCCUACAGGAUAUGCCGGCUCCCAUCAUCACAGACAUACACACGCACCUGGCCCAAGAGUCACAGAAGCUGAAGGAAAAUUCAGGGAAGGUAGAGCAGUUGUGACUUGGCUACUGCCCCACCCAGCAACAUGAGCCACAGAUAAAACAGGUGUGAGCUACAGAAUG